rnacentral:lncRNA from 14 species
CGGAAAGUUCCGGCGCGGGUUUCCCGCGUCCCUGUGGCAUCCGGGCGGAAGAGUUUAGGCGGCAGCAACCUGGGAACGAUGAGGAAGGUGGAGGUGAAGGCUACGUUUCUGGUGUGAUUGGUUGCCCCAUCACGGGAAACUUUUCCCUGAGGGAAGAUGGUGAGGGACCUGUGGGAUUUAAGAAUAUUUCUCGUAAGAAAAUUUGCUGCUUCUACAGCCUUCCAUCUUAGUGUGCUGUUGAUUUCACUUGAAAUACUGAAGAACAGUAGGCAC